rnacentral:rRNA from 1 species
GAUGAACGCUAGCGGCAGGCUUAAUACAUGCAAGUCGAGGGGCAGCAGGGGUAGCAAUACUCGCUGGCGACCGGCAAACGGGUGCGGAACACGUACGCAACCUUCCCAAAACUGGUGAAUAGCCCUCCGAAAGGAGGAUUAAUACACCGUAAGAUAAUGAAGUGGCAUCACUUUAUUAUUAUAGCUCCGGUCGGUUUUGGAUGGGCGUGCGCCUGAUUGGGGUAGUUGGCGGGGUAACGGCCCACCAAGCCUGCGAUCAGUAACUGGUGUGAGAGCACGACCAGUCACACGGGCACUGAGACACGGGCCCGACUCCGUACGGGAGGCAGCAGUAAGGAAUAUUGG